rnacentral:rRNA from 1 species
AGAUUGAACGCUGGCGGCAUGCCUAACACAUGCAAGUCGAACGGGAGUAGCAAUACUCUAGUGGCGGACGGGUGAGGAAUACGUAGGAAUUUGCCCUUAAGUGGGGGAUAACCCGGGGAAACCCGGAUUAAUACCGCAUGACCUCGAAAGAGCAAAGUGGGGGAUCGCAAGACCUCACGCUUUGGAGAGCCUACGUCGGAUUAGCUAGUUGGUGAGGUAAUGGCUCACCGAAGGCGACGAUCCGUAACUGGUCUGAGAGGAUGAUCAGUCACACGGAACUGAGACACGGUCCGGACUCCCGUACGGAGGCAGCAGG